rnacentral:siRNA from 1 species
CGCAGACGCAGCUGCCUCCGGA